rnacentral:rRNA from 1 species
UACAGAGGUGGCAAGCGUUGUUCGGAAUUACUGGGCGUAAAGGGCGCGUAGGCGGCCUACUAAGUCAGACGUGAAAUCCCCCGGCUUAACCUGGGAACUGCGUCUGAUACUGGAAGGCUUGAGGAUGGGAGAGGGAUGUAGAAUUCCAGGUGUAGCGGUGAAAUGCGUAGAUAUCUGGAGGAAUACCGGUGGCGAAGGCGGCAUCCUGGACCAUUACUGACACUGAGGAGCGAAAGCGUGGGGAGCGAUCCGG